UCCUCGAUAGCUCAGUCGGUAGAGCAAUCGGCUGUUAACCGAUCGGUCGUAGGUUCGAGUCCUACUCGAGGGA
rnacentral:tRNA from 1 species